GAAGAGUGAACAGCAAAACGAAAANANAAAAUCACAAAUGGGUGCUAAUUGUGAUAACGUAAGGGAAAAAAUUGAUAUUACCUUACUAUAAGUGUUGUCUAAAUAACUGGUGCCAGAAGACUCGGUAACACCAGAAACGCGAACGUUAUUCGUCUUAAACAGGCGUAAAGGGUAAGUAGGCUGCUUUAAAUUCUAUAAUUAAAAAAGCUAAAAAUAAAAUUUCCGCUAGUAGUCCUUAGGGACAAGUAGCAGCAACUAAAAGUUUAUCAAACCUUAAAAAAUAAAUUAAGGAUAAUAAAAAUGAAAAUAGUCGCAUUAGAUAAAUUAUUUAAAAAUAGAAACACUUAAAGCUAGAAUCAUAUUUGAGAUAAACCAAAUAAUACUUAAGUGUAAGGGCGAUAUCUUAAAAUACUAAGUAGAAUACUAACGGUGAAAACUUUUUAUCUGGUAAUGAUUGACGCUGAGGUACGAAAGUGAGAACAGGGAAUAGGAUGUGCGACUUGAAAGCUUAAGUAAUGUAUAGAAUACUAAGAAUACAUUAUCAUUCGUCUGAUAAUAGCCAACCUAAACGUGCAUAAAUAGUAAUGGUUAUGUGUGAAGCUUUAGGGAAAGUUAAUUAUGGUUAUGCACCUAUAUAUAUGAAUAUAUAUCAAUUUAACGAAGCUGAUUUCAAUGGUAGGAACCAACUAUGUAAUAAACNAUAUAGGCAUA
rnacentral:rRNA from 1 species